rnacentral:lncRNA from 1 species
UCAAGUACACAACACAUCAUCGUUAGCUAUAGUCACUGUGUUUAGUUAUUAUUCAUCCAGCACAACUAAAAGUUUGUAUCCUUGCUAACAUGUCUCUAUCUCUCUCUUUCCUUCCCUAGCUCCCCUCAAGCCCCUUGUCAGUUUCUGGCCACCACUCUCCUAUCCUCUGCUGCUGGGAGUUUGAUGAUUUUAGAUUCCACUUACAAGCUAUGAUGAGUAGAAAGAGCCUUAAAUGCCUACUCUGGCCAUUGUUGUCCCCUGAUCCUGAAAAUGCUGACUCCUUCCUGUGGGGUCACAGCACUGCUCAUCACCAUGUCAAGAUACUGGCAAAGCUUCUGUGGGAUGCCUGCUCCAACCACUAGAGGACAGUCCUCAGUGAGGAAGAAAGAAAUUCUGCCGAUGCCCCAGGGCAAUGAAUUCAUGCAACUGACCAAGUCUACAAUGAGGAUGACAAAAAAAACCCAGGAGGACUCAAGAUGGCGCUGUGAGAACAACCCAGGAUUG